AGUGAACGCUGGCGGUAGGCCUAACACAUGCAAGUCGAACGGCAGCACAGUAAGAGCUUGCUCUUACGGGUGGCGAGUGGCGGACGGGUGAGGCAUACAUCGGAAUCUACUUUUUCGUGGGGGAUAACGUAGGGAAACUUACGCUAAUACCGCAUACGACCUACGGGUGAAAGCAGGGGAUCUUCGGACCUUGCGCGAUUGACUGAGCCGAUGUCGGAUUAGCUAGUUGGCGGGGUAAAGGCCCACCAAGGCGACGAUCCGUAGCUGGUCUGAGAGGAUGAUCGGCCACACUGGAACUGAGACACGGUCCAGACUCCUACGGGAGGCAGCAGUGGGGAAUAGUGGACAAUGGGCGCAAGCCUGAUCCAGCCAUACCGCGUGGGUGAAGAAGGCCUUCGGGUUGUAAAGCCCUUUUGUUGGGAAAGAAAAGCAGCAGGUUAAUACCCCGCUGUUCUGACGGUACCCAAAGAAUAAGCACCGGCUAACUUCGUG
rnacentral:rRNA from 1 species